AAAACCGUAGUACCAGGGGCCCCUACAGGUAUAAUAAUUUUAGCUCCCGGCACGGACAUCAAAACGUUCACAUCGAGUUCCUUAUUGAGUGAUACAAGGGGAUUCACUAUAGCAGGUUUAUUACACGAUAGAUGAUUAGAUGGAAUAGGUAUCUUACCGCCAUUAUUAUACACUGGGCAAGUCGAAAUGAAUUUUGGUUGAAUUGGAAUCUACUGUAACUUCUCUGUGGAUAUUGCCUUCGAUUGAGCUUCUUCUGAAGUGGAUAGUGGUGCAAAUUGAAUUGUGUUCUGCAUUAUCUCCCCC
rnacentral:lncRNA from 1 species